rnacentral:rRNA from 1 species
CCCUUAGAUGUUCUGGGCCGCACGCGUGCUACACUGAUGCAUUCAACGAGUCUAAAACCUGGUCUGAUAGGGCUGGGUAAUCUUUUGAAAGUGCAUCGUGAUUGGGAUAGAUGAUUGCAAUUCUUCAUCUUCAACGAGGAAUGCCUAGUAAACGCAAGUCAUCAGCUUGCAUUGAUUACGUCCCUGCCCUUUGUACACACCGCCCGUCGCUCCUACCGAUUGAAUGAUCCGAUGAAUAUCAUGGAUUGAGAGUACGAAUGGGUUCGCUCAUUUCUGCUGCUCGAGAAGUGAAGUAAAUCUUAUCAUUUAGAGGAAGGAGAAGUCGCAACA